UUCAAUAGCGUCAACAGACAGUCUGCAACACUAGGUAACAUUAUGUUAGAGAUGGAAUACAGCAAACAUCCGACUCCCAGCGCAACACUGACUCCUACACAAACUCAGAGUAAGCCAAAAAAAAAAAUUUAAAAAUAAAAUAAAAAAUAUUUAUCUGCUGAAUCCCAUCUGGCUAAGCAGGAACGUGAUCGUGUUCGAGCGAAAACUAGAGUGAACUUUGGCAGGGCAUUUGAUUCCUGGAGGGACCUUCGUUUGGUUUUGGGGAUCAAAACUGACCCUGGCGUUCUUCUUAUUGGACAGGUUGGGUUUUCUUUUUUGUGUUUUUUCUUCUUUUUUUUUCUGUCUUUUCCGAUAUAUUCCUGUGACGUUGGAUGAUGAUUUUCCCUGGAGAAAUUCCGGAUUUAAAUUGUUCCUGUUAACAAGCAAAGAGUGUUCAACGCUGUGUAGGAACUGGCGAGCCAAUCUAUCGUAUACCUGAGCCUGGAACGGAGACAUUUCACAAUAGAAAUAUCCGAGUGGUAGGCAAGUCCAUCCCCAUGGGUGUAGGAGGGGGGCCUGGGCUGGUCUUUUAGAGCUGCAGGGAUCGAGGGCAUUUCCAAGACUGUUGCCCUAAUGGUGGUGGAUAUGCUGGUCUGGAUUCCCGACGCUCCACAGGCUACCCCUGCUUGAGCUGAGGUGUUUCGGAUACCGGUCACAUAUCUGCAAGGGACAGAGAAUAUGAACCCUGUGUCAGCCACUAAAGACCUUAUAGGUAAACCUGUACUGAUUCCACAGAACAUUGAACAACAUGGUUCGGUACCAGAGACAGUUGGGUCUAGCAAUGACACAGCUCCUAGAGUGUCUGAUCCAGAGAGGGUUGAGAAUGACACUGGCACAGCUCCUAGAUUCUCUGAACCAGAGAUGAAAAAGCCUGUAACAGCACCAAGAAGAAUUAAGAGAGCCAGUGCUGGCAUACACUCAAACCCAUUUCAUGAGUCAAAAUCAGCAUGCAGUUUUUCUCUCAGGUGUUAACAAGCCUGGGUAGUGUGUUCUUUACAGAAGCUGUUAAAGAAGUGAAAAAUACACAUCAAGUCAUCGUGGACAAUGACUUUUAACAGGGGAGAAUGUAGCCAAGUAGAGAAAUUUAAUGUAGUUUGACUCUAGUCAUAAAUUGGACGCGGCCCCUUUAAGAACUCCUCGGGCAUGCGUGUUGGUUAGAGAUGUGAAAACAUUUUGCAAUAGAGCUCCCGGUUUUGUUCAUCCUUGAUAAUUCUUUGGAUAAACAUCACAUUUCACACAAAAUGCUCAUAAAUUGCAUUAAGAAUUCAGAAGUCAUAUGUUAAAACUGAGUGUUUGUAAUGGAUUAUUUUUGAAGGAUGCACAUGUGAUUUCUGGGUAUGUUUUUUGUAUUUGGUAUUAAUCAUGUCUUAUUUAAUGAGAUAUAGCCCAGAGUUUGUUCCAGUUUAGUGAAUAAGUGUGAUACGUGUUCAAUGAGAAUUCAAUUGUUUAAACUAUAAUACAUGUUCUUAAAGCCUGGUUAAAUAUGCAUAAAAUACAGUGUGUGAUUUAAGCAUGUGUUAAAGGCAUAAAAUGCUGUGAAUGUUAUAAGCAUGUUUUAAGGUGAUGUAUGCUGAAGCAUAUGGAUAGACUAAUGCCUGUUUGUGUUUUGGCAUUAGCCUCUUUCAGUUUCUGUAUUUUCUUUAUUUUUAUUUUUUAAAUACAAUAAGGCCCCACUGACCGCUGUUUUUUUUUUAAUUUUUAUUUAUUUAUUUUUUUUUAUUAUUAAACAGCUGUCAGAUAAAACCCCCUAAAAGAAUAGUUUUUAGAAAAGAGAAAAGUGGCAAAUUCUUCCUUGCCAUUGUUAGAUGUCAUUGGAACAUAUUUUAAAGAUUAAUUUUUUCUAUAUCCAAAUUUUUUCUCCUAUCCCAGUUUAAUGUAUAUUGACAACUUUGAACACAUCUUAUGGUGCCGCCAGUGACGCAGAAAUGACACACAUCACUUUCACUAUGAGUAAAAUGUUUUAUCCUUACUUACAGCAGACAGUUGUGUGGAUCUUUAAAGAUUUGAAGACUUUAGACCCAAAACAGCCAGAGAGUUAAGCAGUGGCUAAUUGUGUUUGACAGUUUGUGUGAAAAAGCUCCUCCUACGGCAGCUAUUAAAGGAAUAGUUCACCCAAAAAUGAAAAUUCUCUCAUUAUUCACUUACCCUGAUGCCAUCCCAGAUGUGUAUGACUGGCUUUCUUCAGCAGAACACAAAUUAAGAUUUUUAGAAAAAUGUUGAAGCUCUGUAGGUCCUUAUAAUGUAAGUAAACAAGUGCCAUCAGGCUGCUGGCCAUUUGACGGUCCAAAAGGCAUAUUUAGGCACCAUAAAAGUCAUCCACAUCUAAAAAUCUUAAUUUGUGUUCUGCUGAAGAAACAGUCAUUCCCAUCUACGAUGGCAUAAUGAAUAAUGAGAGAAUUUUCAUUUUUGGGCAAACUAUUAUUUUAAGGGGUGAUAAACUUAGACACACAGCACAAUGCAGCCAAUUAGUGAAAUUCAGGUUUUAAACAACAAAUCUUUCUCUGAAGAAUGAAGGCCUCCAAAGUAAUCAGUAUCACUGCAAUAUACUUGAAUGGCUUUGGAAUUAUGGAUUGAUUGUUGUUUCUGCUAACUGUUACACAUAAAGUGUGUUGAUUGACAUUUUUUUUAAAAGACAACUUGAACUUUAAUCAUAUUUAAUAUACAGUACAGGCACAGUGCAACUGCUAUGAGGAGGCCCUAUUACCUAAUUUAAUUACUUUUAAGAUUUUGAAGAUUUCUUUAGAAGAGCUACCUCUGAGAAGAACUGCCACUUAUUGCAGCUUACAGUAAGUUUGCCCAUCAGCCUGUCCAUUUCUUAAUAUCUGACUUGUCACUACUUGACACUGAGCCAUGCCAAGAAACCAUAAUCAAAAUCUGCACAUCUGAGCCAAAGGAAAUUCUGUGACUCGUCUUAUCAAAACUGCCUAAUAAGAAGUGCAAACACAUAUGAUUUAACUAAAAAGCAGAGGGUGAAAAGGGGAACAGUUAUUGUAUAGCAUCCAUUAUGGAGACUGACAUAUGGGCUUCAAUUACUUUUUGUGUAUUUUAGAAACUGAUUAUAAUGUCUCACCAUCUUAAAUUAAUUAGAUGUAUUAGCUGAUUAGUUAAUAGGUACAUUGUUUAUGAUCAAACCUCUGAAAAAAAAAAUAUCCAUCACAUUCCCUUUAAAUUCAAUAUACUGUUUAAUCUAUAAUGUGUGACUACAAUUAAACAAGUUUAAGGGUAUAAUUUGAGAAUGACACUUGCUCAUGCUGAUAAUUUCAUUAUAUGCUUCUGUGCACUUCCAUUACAGCAAAUCAACAUGGGAUUUUACCCUUUCAGAAUCUAUAAUAACUGAAAUCUAAAAUAAAUUAUCACUGGUUCGACAAUACAAGAUUUGUUUAAAAAUAAAUUAUUAAAUAGCUUUCAUUUCAUUCCAUUACUAAUAAAAAAAUACACUGCUCACGAAUA